GACAGAGGUGCCGAGCGUUAGGCGGAAUCACUGGGCUUAAAGCGUGUGUAGGCGGGCCCGUAAGUGUCUUGUGAAAUCCCACGGCUCAACCGUGGAACUGCUGGGCAUACUGCGGGUCUUGGGCCAACUAGGGGCAGCCGGAACAAGCGGUGGAGCGGUGAAAUGCGUAGAUAUCGCGUGGAACGCCGAAGGUGAAAACAGGCUGCUGGGGUUGCGCCGACGCUGAGACACGAAAGCCAGGGGAGCAAACGGG
rnacentral:rRNA from 1 species